AAAGCGAAUAGUGAAAUCUGGCGGCUCAACCGUACAGGCUAUUAUUCGAACUCACUAACUCGAGAGUGGUAGAGGUUACUGGAAUUUCUAGUGUAGGAGUGAAAUCCGUAGAUAUUAGAAGGAACACCAAUGGCGUAGGCAGUAACUGGACCAUUUCUGACACUAAGCACGAAAGCGUGGGAGCGAACCGGAUAGAUACCGGUAGUCCACGCCGUAAACGAUGGAUACUA
rnacentral:rRNA from 1 species